rnacentral:rRNA from 1 species
UGGGGAAUAUUGGACAAUGGGGGGAACCCUGAUCCAGCCAUGCCGCGUGUGUGAAGAAGGCCUUAUGGUUGUAAAGCACUUUAAGCGAGGAGGAGGGUACUGGUAUUAAUACUACCAGGUACUGGACGUUACUCGCAGAAUAAGCACCGGCUAACUCUGUGCCAGCAGCCGCGUAAUACAGAGGGUGCGAGCGUUAAUCGGAUUUACUGGGCGUAAAGCGUGCGUAGGCGGCUAAUUGAGUCGGAUGUGAAAUCCCCGAGCUUAACUUGGGAAUUGCAUUCGAUACUGGUUAGCUAGAGUGUGGGAGAGGAUGGUAGAAUUCCAGGUGUAGCGGUGAAAUGCGUAGAGAUCUGGAGGAAUACCGAUGGCGAAGGCAGCCAUCUGGCCUAACACUGACGCUGAGGUACGAAAGCAUGGGGAGCAAACAGG